CAGUAGCCGCGGUAAUGCGUAGGUGGCAAGCGUUGUCCGGAAUUAUUGGGCGUAAAGCGCGCGCAGGUGGUUUCUCAAGUCUGAUGUGAAAGCCCACGGCUCAACCGUGGAGGGUCAUUGGAAACUGGGAGACUUGAGUGCAGAAGAGGAUAGUGGAAUUCCAAGUGUAGCGGUGAAAUGCGUAGAGAUUUGGAGGAACACCAGUGGCGAAGGCGACUAUCUGGUCUGUAACUGACACUGAGGCGCGAAAGCGUGGGGAGCAAACAGGAUUAGAUACCCCGGUAGUCCCUGUCUCUUAUAC
rnacentral:rRNA from 1 species